GGGCCCGUAGCUCAGCUUGGAUAGAGCAGCAGCCUUCUAAGCUGAUGGUCGCGGGUUCAAAUCCCGCCGGGCCCG
rnacentral:tRNA from 1 species